UCCCUGAUGGUCCAGUGGUUAGGACUCUGGGCUUCCAUUAUAGGGGGUGCGGGUUCGAUUCUUGGUCAGGGGA
rnacentral:tRNA from 1 species